rnacentral:misc_RNA from 1 species
AAAUUUUGAAAAAUUAAUUUAGGUUUUAUUAUUACACUUUAAUUCAUAUAUUUGAAAUAAUUUUUUUUUAAUUUAAUAUAUAAAAUAAUUGGUUUCUGGAAAGAUUAAGUUGUUCUAUAUGUUGAGAUUACAAGACUUGAUAUAUCGUGUAAAAUUUUGAAACUAAAUAAUUCAUUUCAAAAAAUUCUGGAAUAAAAGUGUAAUAUGGUUUAAAAUGUCAAAACUCAAGUAUUAAAUAAUUAAUUUUUUAAAAUUUAGAGAUUAAAGUUUAAAGUAAAGCAAAAUCUAGAGAUUAAAUUAUAAAUUUCUCUAUAUUUAUUUAGUCAGCGAGUGGGUUGAUGUAUAGUAUAGUAACAGCUUCCAGGUUCGUAACAAAAUUGGAUUGUUUAAUCAACACCUGGACAAGUAAUCUUCAAGUUGAAUAUUUACUUAUGUGUAAUCAAUUAUGAGUUAUGAAGCAUUGUUUGUAGCCUAUUUUAAUAUGCAAUUAAGUAGUUUUGUAAGGGCAAAUGUCUACCCCUCAAUGAACCAUUCCUUGGUAAUAAUUUAGGGGUUAAUUAAUGAAUGAAUUAGAGUUUUUCUUUUUCUUUCUGCAUUUCACACAUCUACAUAAGUACUCUUCUGGAUUUGCUUGCAUUUGGUAGUUUGGAAGGUGAUAGCAAUGCAUUGGUCUUGCCUGCAAAGAAACGUAGUAAAAGGAACGGCAUGAAUCAGGUAAAUGCAUCGGAUUAAUAGGCUCCUUGAUUAUGUUCUAUUAUUAAAUGUAAUUGAUUGAAUGCCGAGAACUUUAUUGUACAGGAGAAUGAACGGGUCCAAAAAAAAAAUAAAAACCUGAAGUUGAGCAAAUCUCAGAAAAGAAAGUUGAAGAAAUUGGAGAUGUAUGCUUGAAUAUGGCUUUUAGCAUACUUUUUUUUCUCCAUUUUUGUGUUCAUCGAAGUUAAAGAAGUUUUUGAUUACUCGGCAAGAGAAGGAGAAAGCAUUCUUACUAACAAAAAGCAUUAAGACCUUGGAGCAAGUCGGAUGCUUUUUGGCCCCCAAAUGCUUAACUUCUAUCUUUUCUGUUAACUUUCUAGGAAGCUUUCACUAAGUUUGAAAACCAAUAUAAAAUUUAUUUUUCAGGAAAUACAAGAAACCAGAGGAUGCUUUUUCACUUCUUCAAUCAUCAAGAAAUGUAAAUAGAUUUUGUAUCAUAGGACCAAUUUUUUUAUCUCCAAGCAGGUUGAAACUGUGAAAGAAAAAAGCCAGAUGGCAGCACAAUUUUCCAAGGCAGGCCUAGAAGUUUCACAUAGUGAUCAAUCUAUCAAAAUCUAUCAAUGCUUCUAGCAGCUGCACGGCUUCAGGUAUUUGAAGAGGUCAAGGAAGGGGAGCGGCUUCUUGUUGUUGCCACUAAUGUAGCUGAAACCUCUUUAACUAUCCCAGGCAUAAAGUAUGUUGUUGAUACUGGAAGGGAAAAGGUGAAGAAUUACAACCUCUCUAAUGGCAUGGAAACAUAUGAAAUACGGUGGAUAAGGCAUUAGCUACCCAACAUGCAGGCAGAGCUGGGAGAACUGGUCUUGGACACUGUUACUGCCUCUAUUCAUCUGGAGUCUUUAAUAACAUAUUUUCUGACUUCUCUUGUGCUUACAUAUCUAAUUUGCCUGUUGAUAGCAUUGUUCUUGUCCUGAAGUCCAUGAGUAUUAAUAAGGUUGCAAAUUUCCCAUUUCCAACUCCUCCGGAGGCCACUGCCUUGGUAGAAGCAGAAAAAUGCUUGAAGACUCUUGAAGCACUUGAUGACAGUGGAAGAUUGACACCCCUUGGGAAGGCCAUGGCUAAUUUUCCCAUGAGUCCCCGCCACUCUAGGAUGCUUCUUACUGUUAUCCAAAUUAUGAGGAAGGUGAAAAACUAUGCUAGAGCAAAUCUGGUCCUGGGAUAUGCAGUUGCAGCAGCUGCAGCAUUGAGCUUGACUAAUCCUUUUCUGAUGGAGUUUGUAGGAAGUCAUGAUAAUAGCAAUGGCUUAGAGCAGGAUGGGAUAUCUGACAGCCUAGGCAAUGAGAUAAACUUGGACAAGCAGGAAAAAUUAAGGAGAAAGAAACUUAAAGAAAUGGCUAAAUUAUCUCGUGCAAAAUUUUCUAAUCCUACCAGUGAUGCUAUGACUAUAGCUUAUGCAUUGCAAUGUUUUGAACUUUCAAACAACCCAGUUGAAUUCUGCACUGAAAAUGCCCUACACCUUAAAACCAUGGAAGAAAUGUCCAAGCUAAGAAAGCAGCUUCUUCAACUAGUCUUUAAUCAAAAUGUUAAUCAUGGCUUUGAUCAGGAGUUUUCAUGGAUACAUGGAACUGUGGGGGACGUAGAACAAGCUUGGAGGGUGUCCUUCAGUAAGAACCCUCUUUUACUCAAUGAGGAAGAGCUCUUAGGCCAAGCUAUCUGUGCCGGCUGGGCUGAUAGAGUUGCCAAACGAAUCAGAGGAGAUUCAAAGUCAUCUGAAGGAGAUAGAAAAGUAAAUUCAGUUCGGUAUGAGGCCUGUGGGGUUAAAGAAAUCGUGUUCCUUCAUCGUUGGUCAUCUCUUUCUAAUUCAGCUCCUGAGUUUUUGGUGUACAGUGAAUUGCUGCGGACGAAACGGCCAUACAUUCAUGGAGCAACAAGUGUGAAAUCAGAAUGGCUUGUCAAAUAUGCUAGGUCUUUGUGUAGUGUUUCUACUGUUGAGGACCCCAAACCUUUUUAUGACCCUCAAACUGACCAAGUAUAUUGUUGGAUCAGUCCAACUUUUAUGCCUCGUCUGUGGCAGCUGCCACUGUACAGUGCGCCAGUUGGCAAUGAUGUAGAACGUGUGAGGGUGUUUGCUUAUGCCUUACUUGAAGGCCAUGUUUUGCCCUGCUUUAGAUCUGUACGGAAUUUUAUGGCAGCUCGUCCUAGUAUCAUUUUGGAUAGAGAAGCUGUAGGUGGAAGGCGAGUUGGGAAUCUUUUAUUUAAGUUAGAGGCCAAGUUGAUUGAUAGUUGUGCCAUGUUAAGAGAGGUAUGGAAAGAGAAUCCUGAUGAGCUGCAUUUGGAAAUUUUACACUGGUUUAAGAAGAGCUUUCAUAAUCAUUUUGGAACGCUUUGGUCACAAAUGCAUGUUGAAGUUCAAUUAGGGCCUCAUGAACGCUUUCCCAAGAAGAUGAAGGACAAAAGGAAAGAGCAUUAGUUUGGAAGCUAGAGUGGAGAUUCUGGAACAAAAUUGCGGCUAUUGUAUAUCUGAAUGAGCUUGCUUGGUUUUUGUCAAAUAGAAAAGAAGGAACUUCCUCCGUGAAUUAAGCAAAAUCCACCGAUUAGAAAGUAAUCUAAUCAUAUGUGCCCAUUUUUUUCUUAUCUAAGAAUGAAAUUUCUUUGUCAUUGAAUCACACGCCCAAUCCCUUUUCUGUCACUUUCCAUAGGCCUGUCUGUUGGAAAAGCUUUUGCGGCUAAUUAACUGAUAUGCUUGCCUUAUAUAGAAAAAUGGACAUUGUAUGAUGCCAUGACAUGUGCUAAGGGGUGAGAGUUAUAAAGCACAUUACGUUUUGCAGGGUAUAAUCAUAUUUGAAAUGACAUCUUAUCUGUACCUGUAUUUAUAAUUCGUGGACAAAUUGCGUUUCAUCA